UACAACGAAACUGCGAAUGGCUCGGUAAAACAGCAAUAAUUUAUUCGGGGGUAAUUGCUACUUGGAUAACCGUAGUAAAGCUAGAGCUAAUACGUGCUACAAAGGCGAGAUUCGCUCUCGUGGUACUAAGUAUUAGGUACAACCCAAUUUUUUUGGUGAUUCAUACUUAUCUUCUGAUCGCACUCUGUGCGACGCCCCGAAUAAAUUUCUGACCUAUCAACUUCGAUGGUAAGGUAGUGUCUUACCAUGGUUGUGACGGGUAACGGACCGUGGGUGCGGGAUUCCGGAGAGGGAGCCUGAGAAACGGCUACCACAUCCAAGGAAGGCAGCAGGCGCGCAACUUACCCAAUCCGAACUUCGGGAGGUAGUGACAAAAAAUAUCAAUAAGGGGACCGAUGGUCUUCUUAAUUGGAAUGAAAACAAUCUAAACACCUUAUUAAGGAACCAGCAGAGGGCAAGUCUGGUGCCAGCAGCCGCGGUAAUUCCAGCUCUGUAAGCGUAUACCAAAGUUGUUGCAGUUAAAACGCUCGUAGUCGAACUUUGGCGUGAGUUACGGAGACUCCUAAUGGACGUUGAAGUAACUCCGCCUUUGUGGAGGGGGGUGCGGUGGUACUUUAUUGUAUUGCUGCGCUUCCGCCACUGUUUACUGUGAAAAAAUUAGAGUGUUCAAAGCGAGCGUUUGCCAUGAAUACAUUAGCAUGGAAUAAUAGAAUAGGACCUGAUCCUGUUUUGUUGGUUUGUCUGUAUCAGGUAAUGAUUAACAGGGACGGUCGGGGGCAUUUGUAUUCCAGCGUUAGAGGUGAAAUUCUUGGAUCGCUGGAAGACAAACAGCUGCGAAAGCGUCUGCCAAGGACGUUUUCAUUGAUCAAGAACGAAAGUAAGGGGAUCGAAGACGAUCAGAUACCGUCGUAGUCUUUACUAUAAACGAUGAUGACUAAGGAUCAGCCGUGGCCUAUUGGUACGGUUGGCACUUUCCGGGAAACCAAAGUUUUUGAUUUCUGGGGGGAGUAUGGUCGCAAGUCUGAAACUUAAAGGAAUUGACGGAAGGGCAUCACCGGGUGUGGAGCCUGCGGCUUAAUUUGACUCAACACGGGAAAACUUACCAGGUCCAGACAUAGUAAGGAUUGACAGAUUGAGAGCUCUUUCUUGAUUCUAUGGUUGGUG
rnacentral:rRNA from 1 species